GGGGCUCAUAUUCAGGGGCUAACUCUGCCAUCUGUGUGGUGAGAGGGAGCUGCCACCGCUUGAUCUGUUCAUCUGUAAUGAGGGAGUCUUAGAAGCUUCACUCACCACAGUGAACUGUUGUAGGAGUUAAAGGGAGGCGUCUACAAAGCAUGCUGGGAACUGAAAAGGCCUUUCUGUAGAAUGAAGCAACAUUUUCAAAACUUACGAUUUAAGCCACAUUUCACUCUUGGGCAGAUGAAAUAAAUGACUGGCUGAUGGGAGCAUGGAGGAAGAGGAGGAGGAGGCAACCAGAAGAGGGAGCAGUUACAUCAACUCAUACUCAUGCUCCUGAGAAAGCCCUCGGGCUCAUAGAAGGAAUAGACCAACAGAUUCAUGUGCCGGGCGCUUGGGAUGAAGCCACAAAUCCUGUAUGUUUCUCUAUUUCAUAGAAGAAGAAGGUUUUCAAUUACAAAGAGGCCUGCUGUCAAAGCAAUAUGACCACCUAGCUGGCUGUUCAUUCUGCCAACCUGCCUUCCUUGCCAUGAUGUAAUAAAUCCUCAUGAAUUGCAAACUAGAAUAAACCCUUCAUUCCUUCUUU
ensembl:lincRNA Gm37223 predicted gene, 37223